GUACUUGAUUUGGCAGCACACAUGCUAAAAUUAAAACAAUACAGAGAUUAGCAUGGCUCCUGCAUAAGAAUGACAUGCAAAUUCAUGAAGUAUUCCAUGUUUCU